rnacentral:ncRNA from 1 species
AUUCGGGUCUGGCAAACUUAUCGAAAGAUAAGGACGCAAAGCCUACGGCCUAAGGGGAAACCUAGGGUAGCGAGGUUGCAACC